rnacentral:tRNA from 1 species
GCCCGGGUGGCUCAGUUGGUUAAGCGUCUGACUUUGGCUCAGGUCAUGAUCUCACGGUUUGUGAGUUUGAGCCUCCCGUCGGGCU